rnacentral:tRNA from 1 species
GCGGAGGUGGCACAGUGGUUACUGCAGUCGGUUGCAGCCCGACUUUUCCUGGGUUCGAAUCCCAGCCUCCGCU